AUGAUUGCUGGCAGGAUCUCAGGACUCCGAGAGGUCUGAACGGGAGUUGCCUGCGCAGCUGGCAGCAGCAGAAAUGCCCUUAAAAAGGGAAAGGAGAGAUGCCAAGGAGAGAACUAAUGCCUGUGCCAGGAGCAUGCAACUCUCAAGAGGUUUCACUGGACCAUGAACGAGGCUUGUUGAUUGAAUGGUGGAAACAGCUGUGUGACGCCAGGGAGGUUCAGCAUCACCCCAUCCAGGAUAUCAUGAGCAGCUGCAAAAGACACAUGGAAUCUCUGACUUCACCAGGUUUAUAACCUUGCAGUGGCAAAGUCUCCUAGCUAGGUGUAGUCACGUGACUGAGUUUCGGCCAAUGGGAUAUAAGCAGAAAUGAUUUCUGUCCUUUUGAUGGGGUGAGUGCUCCCCUGUCUCCUUUACUCCUUCCCAUCAGCUGGAAGAUCACAAGAACUAAAGCAGCUUUGGAGCCAGAGAUGGAAUCUGUGCAAGGAGAAUGGUAGAGUCUCCCUAAA